rnacentral:rRNA from 1 species
CCUACGGGUGGCAGCAGUGAGGAAUAUUGGUCAAUGGGCGGAAGCCUGAACCAGCCAAGUCGCGUGAGGGAAUACGGCCCUACGGGUCGUAAACCUCUUUUGCCGGGGAGCAAGGGCCGGGACGCGUCCCGGCCCGGAGAGUACCCGGAGAAAAAGGAACGGCUAACUCCGUGGCAGCAGCCGCGGGAAUAAGGAAGAUGCGAGCGUUAUCCGGAGUUAUUGGGUUUAAAGGGUGCGUAGGCGGGCUUUUAAGUCAGCGGUAAAAAUUCGGGGCUCAACCCAGGCCGGACGUUGAAACUGGGGGCCUUGAGUGUGCCAGAAGAAGGCGGAAUGCGUGGUGUAGCGGUGACAUGCAUAGAUAUCACGCAGAACCCCGAUUGCGAAGGCAGCCGUCCGGCGCCCUACUGACGCUGAGGCACGAAAGUGCGGGGAUCGAACAGGAUUAGAUACCCGUGUAGUC